CUCGACGACGCGGCCGACCUGACGCGCGAGCUGCUGCACGCCGGGGCGCCCGUCUGGGGUGGAGGUGGUCCAACAGAAGAGGAUUCAGAGGAUUCGACAUUUGCAGCCUUUCUGCGUGCUGUGAUGCGCCGCCGCCGUCUUGACAGUCGAGCACAGUAUACACUGCACUUGCUCAGUGAGGCCAUGGGGGAGCAGCCAGCGCGCAUGCACCGCACUGUCAUGCGCACGAUGUUUCGGCAUGCCAGAUGUGUCAAGGUGCUAGGCCCAGUCUUCCUCCAGCUGAAGUCGCAAAUGAAGCGUUACUGGACACAGCCCCUGGAAUUGCGUUUCCUUUGCCGCAAAGCCAUCAGAGGUGCAGUCGGACCUCAGCGUCUUGCACAAGGUGGUGCAGCUCAGCUGGGGCUGCCACCACCCCUUCAGAAAUAUGUUUGUUUUGAGUUGCAAUAGACCACGUGAUCAGUGGAGCAGGAAAUAAUUCUUGGUACAACUCUUUGAAACUCCAACAGCUUGUGUUUAUUAUUUUGAUGUGCACUUAUUCAUCUUGUGCUUCCAGCACUGAUCAUACUAGAAAAGUGCACACAAAUACUCCGAAGCAGAACUCUUGAAUUUGAAUUUCAUAGUUGAAUGGCACAUUUGCGACCAUGCAUUCAGUUAUCCGUGUGACUAUUGUAACACCCUUCUCUUGAUUGUAGAUGGAAAUGUGCCAAAGGCUACAAACGCUGAUGAAUGUUAAAUGACAGUAUUAUUAAUGUAUUGACUGUGCAUAAAUGUAUAACAAACAAGUUAGCAAGUGAGUUUGUAACAGGUGUCUUAUUCUUAGCACAGCACUCUUUUCAUGUAGUGAAAACUAAAUUCUGGUAAAGAAGAAUAUUUACAUACAUGUUACCUGUAACUGGUCACAAUGUUUAAACAAAUUGCUCAGGAACUUUCUAAACUUACACAGGUUUCUUUUUUUCAUAAUUAAAAGGUCAUAUGAUCACCUAACUCCACUGUUAUUUGAAUCAGUAGUUAAUGUCAGUACAACAAUCAGCACAUAUAUUGGUUUGUAAGAAUGCUUUGAUGCCUGUUUUAUUAACAUUACGAUUUGCUAAAUGUUUGUAAAGAUGACCUUCCUUUAAAGAUGUUGUUUUAUUUAUAUCAGUUACAAAAUUGAUAUAAUUUUAUAUCAUUCUUGGUAGAUAAAACCUUUACCAAUACAAUAACCAUACAAAGUGAAGGUAACAAUUCAUUUCCUGUUUAACAAAAUUAAUUAUUUAAGCUUCACUGCAAAACACAAUUUUACAGUCAGUUGUCUUUGCUCCCACAAAUACAGUGUUCUAGUACAACAAAGGAUUUAAGAAUGUCCCCAUUGUAUAUACGUCAGAUGCUGCUGAAAAGUAACUAUCCAGCAGCCUUCAGAAGUUAUUAUUCUACUACAUUUAAUAUCCAGAGACUGCUACAUUACUCUUUGACUGAAAAAAAAUUUUUUUUCCUUCUGCUUCGUUAUUCACUGUAGCAGUAAACAUAUAUAUUUUCAUAUCUAUCAACUCAUUCAUCACAUAUUGCUAUGACAUGAUUUUAACUUCCUUUGAUCAGGUAAUGCACUGCUGCCUGUGCCUUGUAAGUUAAACACCAUUAAGAGUAUCUGAACACCAAUGUCUGAAAGCAAUAACUUUUUUAAUGUGAGUGCAUCAGUUAUUACAGCAUUUUCACUUGGAAAUGCAUUUGUAAAAAUUUUGUAGGUAUUGCCUUUAGAUGACACAAGUGCCCUUCAAUAUUCAGAGACCACCAAAAAACAUUACUUUAAUACACUAACUUCUCACAUUUUUAACUACACUUGUUCUUACAGAGCUACAGGAAGUUUGCAUUUCAAACCUCUUGUUGUCUUUCAUUAAUAAAAAGCAAAGAAAACUGGAUCUGCUAAUAUAUUUUGAAUUGCAGUAGUGCAUUGUGCUCCAACUUCCACAUGAUAACACACAUAUACAUUAACAUCAAUUUUAAAACUGCUCUCCAUAUAAAUUAUAAUCAGUGUGGCAAAUACUGCUCAUAUCAUUUUCAGUGGAUUUUUAUAUGCACAGCUGUUCUAACAAAUGUCAUGGAUAAUUUAACAAUGACAAGCCUUAAUAUCUUUAUGCAGUCAGUUUACUGUUACAAGAAUACAGUCCUUCACGAUUUAAGUGCCAUUCUUAUUCCUCUAAUCACAUUGUUACAUUUAUAUCUCAGGACAUAUAGUGAUAAUAACUAGUGACAAUUGAACAAAAAUACUCACACCUGGAUGUUAUAGGAUGCCUCUGUUUACUCCAUUCAUUAUAGAAGAAUUUUUCCAUAUACAUAUUUUAAACAGAAAAAUCACUCUAAUGGUAAAUCUUAAACAGGACCAUUAAGCAUCACUUUCUUUUACUGGUAUCAGUUUAGUUCAUUAUUCUGCUACACAGAUACCUCGCAUUAUAUCAUGCAGUAUUUUCCAACAAAUGUGUUUGUUAAAAAAUACAGUGGUAACCAUUUUCCUUAGAGAUUAUAUAUAUUAAAGAAAAGGAUGCUGGAUUCUUCUUGUCAUCCAUAAACUUUUCAUUUAAAUUUUAUUUUUAUUAUAAUGAGCCCCAUUCACAUCUACUGAGAUACUUCCUUAAUACACAUAUAAGCCAUUGUCCAUAUAGCAUAGCCUAGGACCUACUACUUUGCAACUGAAUGUAUGUGCAGUAUUUGUGUGCACUUUUCUCCAGCACUGUCACACAUAUCAAUUAAUGAUGUCUGCAACAAUGCAUUUGAACCAGUGAAUUAUUGGACAGACACUAUUCAUUUGUGUAACUGCACUACAGUUAAACACGUUUUUCAGCAUGAAAAUUGGUAAUAAAAUAUACCAAAAUUCUGUGAUCUGUAGCCAGAACUGUGGAGAGCUACAAGGAUAAUUUUUUAUCCAUGUAGAAACAAUGCCUUCAUACAGAACUGUGAAAAAAAAGUGUAAACUAGAGAUGUCUUGAUAAACUGUGAUGUUUAUGUGUUUAGUAGGUUAUUCUAGUUGUAUAGUUUGUAAUAUAAGCUAGAACAGUGUUUGAUAAAGUGUGAACUGACUCUGAACAAUUUUACAACUAGGACAUUAAUCACAGCUUAUGUGAUGUAGAAGAACUGUCGUUUUGUACCAUAACCCCAAGGUAUAUGAGUAAAAGUAGUGACAAUUGUACAUAUUAGAGUCUGAUCACAUGUGAAGAGGCUUUCGUAAGUGUUAGUUUGCAUCUAUGCACAGUGUGUGUGUGUGUGUGUGUGUGUGUGUGUGUGUAUGUGUGUGUGUGUGUGUGUGUGUGUGUGUGAAGGGUAUUUGAAUGAGCCCAAGAGCAAAUUACACAUCAAGGGUACUAGCUCUUGCAAGUGAGUAUGUAGAGUCAUGAGCACAUGAAUGACUCAUAAAUGGUUUUACUCUUGAAGUAGAUAUGGUUACACUGAGAUAAGGAAUACCAUAAACAGCUGAUUUUUCAGUACAGUAAAACUACAAUAAUCCAAAAUAACUGGGACCAAAGCCUCACCAGAUGGCACAGUUUCCAUCUCAUUAUUGUUUUGAGUUGGAAGUAUUAGUGUAUCUUUCAGUACCAUAUCUGUCAAGAAAGUACCAAUAUUUAUAAUAAAUAAUAUGUUAUUUCUUACUUUGUGCUCAUAAUUCAAUUAAAAUUAGUAAUUACAUUUUGCCAUGGAUUUAGAUACUUUCUUUCAUUCGGACGAGACAUCUCAAAUUUUGGAUUAGUGAUGUAAUACUGUAUUUACACGAAAACUAUUUUCUUGUUUUGCUUAAGUGUAUGAAACAUAUUUUAUCAGUACUCACUGCCACAGUAUUAGUUUUACAGAGAAAUGUCUUAUAUAUUUUUCCUGACAAGAUUUCAGGGAUAUUGCUUUGUUUCUACCUGGCUAUGUUACACUGCCAGCUUCCUGAUGAAGAUGUCACCACAGGUGUGUGAACAAUUGGGAAGUGUUGAAUUUUCUGCUUUAAUACAUAGAUUGUAGAAUACCGCAUGUACAGAUCUUAUAACUGCGAACAAUAAGUGUUCCUCAUUGUUUAAUACACCACAACAUUUGACAUGUAUGGUGUAUUAAAAUAUUAGCUGAGAAGUAAAACUGGAUUCCUGUUUGAUGCAUGUGAUGCAAAGCAGGACAGCACAUUUGCCCUUAAAUAUUUCAAUUUGUCUUAUUUGUAAAUUUUAUACUAGCUGAAUAAUGAACUCAGAUGAAAAUAAGUAUUGUGUUAUUCAUCAUUUUGGCACAGUUAUUACUUUUCAGUUUAAUUGCAGCACCAUUGUAUUACACUGUUACAUUAUUUAAAAUAACUACUUAUUUGGUUACAUGUGGCAGCACAGUCAACUGGUCUGAAUACAUAUUCUGAAUAUAUAGAUAAAAAGUGACAGCCACAUUACCUAAAUACAGACCAAAAUUUCACACCUGGUUUUAUAGAAAAGAAGUCACUUCUUAUGAUUAUUUUCUUGUCAUAGAUGAAUAAUAUACAGAGCUUCCAGGUGAGGUUAUUGCAUGUUUUCCUAAUAGAAUAUGCAACUGGUAGGAAGUAGAAAAUUAUUAAUCAAAAUUCUGACCUUAAAAGAAAGGCUGAAAUAAGACAGUCGUGUAAUCCUAAUUAGUGUUGCUUCACUCAUGUCUCUUUCUGAAGCUGCAUUUUCUUAGUUUGUGGUGUUCAGAUAUUUGUAUUAAUAGUCAGUGUUUGUUGUAGGAGUAUAUUCUGUAAGCUCCAGAUGCAAAGGCUGUGAAGUCAAUUUUAAAAUUAAAAUGUGUUCAUGAACUUCACGUAUCUGCAUUAUUUCUUUAGACAACAAUAAAUAUAGUUGCUUGUUAUGCUGUUUUCUAUGUUUUGAAAAAAGAGGUAUUAGCACUACAAAAAGAGCAAACAAAUAAAAAGUUUGACCUGCCAGAAUACUAUAAUGAGACAAAUUUUUAGUGUAAAUUUCCACUUGUAGUUUACAGAUGUCUCAUUUCUCCAAACAACAAAUAUAUCUAAAUACUCAGAAAUUAAUAGUAAAUUUGUAUUCUAAGUUUACCAGGGUACUACUUUUAAUAAGAGAAUUGAACAAUCAUAAGAAGUAGUCAUUAUAACAGCUGUAUUACUCCACAGUAUGUAGGCUACAGCCAUUGCCUUUUCAUAAUAUUAUACAUUCCCUACUAGUGGCCUAAGAAAUUGCAAUCAGCAUUAUUCUAUUUAGAAGAUGCUCCCACUGCCAAGAUGCCUAAUCCUUAACUAGGAUGUUGAAAGCAAUUAAAAACUAGCUGAAAAUAUAGGAAUUAAUUUUGAAGAAGUAUUUUGUAUCAAUAAUGUGACUGUGUUUAUAGAUGUACUCAGUCAAUUGUGUACUUCAGUGAUAUGUUCUAUAAUACCAAUUUGCCUUUAAAUAUAUUGUUGUAAAAUACUCUUUCAGUCAACAAUAAUGUUUGUAGUGUAAAAUAUAAUUGAGCUUCUGCUGAUUUCCAAAUUCAAUAUAAUUUUUUCAGAAGAUUAUUUCAAGCUAAAAUAAGGCAAUUGAUUUAUGUUUAACUAUUUUGUACAUUAUUGUAAAACAAAGUUAGUUUGACUGGGUGAUAAGUGGUUUUUCAGAUUGUUUUUGAUAAAACACUGCCCCAUAUCCAGUCAUUAGGCUCAUGAAAUGAGUGAUAGAUGAUACAAAUCACGUAUACACCCAACAUGUUUGAGUAACUUUCAUAAUGUUCCUAAUACAGUGAUACACUGCCACUUAUUUUGGUUAUGUCAGUAGCAUGCUAGUUAUUAUUUCUUCCAUUUAUCUGUGUUACUUCUACAAUUAAUUUGUCUUAGAAAUAUAGCUGUCAGCAUUUUACACGAUUUAAAGGAAUAAAUCAGUACAAGUGCAAAAGUUAAGAAUUUUUAACUAGUUUACUGUUUAUAUAUAAAUAUAGUCAUGACUUUUUCUGAGCCUUUUAAAUGGCUACUAGAUAAGCUACAUUUUUCUUGCCAAAUAUUUGUAGAAAGAAUUUGC